rnacentral:rRNA from 1 species
GACGAACGCUGGCGGCGUGCUUAACACAUGCAAGUCGAACGGAAAGGCCCUGCUUUUGUGGGGUGCUCGAGUGGCGAACGGGUGAGUAACACGUGAGUAACCUGCCCUUGACUUUGGGAUAACUUCAGGAAACUGGGGCUGAUACCGGAUAGGAGCUCCUGCUGCAUGGUGGGGGUUGGAAAGUUUCGGCGGUUGGGGAUGGACUCGCGGCUUAUCAGCUUGUUGGUGGGGUAGUGGCUUACCAAGGCUUUGACGGGUAGCCGGCCUGAGAGGGUGACCGGCCACAUUGGGACUGAGAUACGGCCCAGACUCCUACGGGAGGCAGCAGUGGGGAAUAUUGCACAAUGGGCGGAAGCCUGAUGCAGCAACGCCGCGUGCGGGAUGACGGCCUUCGGGUUGUAAACCGCUUUCGCCUGUGACGAAGCGUGAGUGACGGUAAUGGGUAAAGAAGCAUCGGCUAACUACGUG